GGGGGUAUAGCUCAGGGGUAAAGCAUUUGACUGCAGAUCAAGAGGUCCCCGGUUCAAAUCCGGGUGCCCCCU
rnacentral:tRNA from 2 species